UACGAAGGGGGCUAGCGUUGCUCGGAAUCACUGGGCGUAAAGCGCACGUAGGCGGAUCUUUAAGUCAGGGGUGAAAUCCUGGAGCUCAACUCCAGAACUGCCUUUGAUACUGGGGAUCUCGAGUCCGGGAGAGGUGAGUGGAACUCCGAGUGUAGAGGUGAAAUGCGUAGAUAUCCGGAGGAACACCGGUGGCGAAGGCGGCUUCCUGGACCGACACUGACGCUGAGGCGCGAAAGCUAGGGGAGCAAACGGG
rnacentral:rRNA from 1 species